CUGAUUUUUUUCUGGUUAAGCAAUUUGGUUGUAGUUAGCACUUCCUAACUAGAAGUACAAGCGAUUUUCAAAUGGGUCUUUUCUAACUUAUGGAGACAAAUGCUGAAAAUAAUGACUUUGUAUGCAACCUGACUUAAAGUCAUUACCACAAAAACAUUCAUUGAUUUUUUAGGAGAAGAAUUUUAGAAGAAAAACUAAAAAGAACCAUGAACCAGUUAAGCAAGUGAUGAAAUUUAGGCUAUAAUUUUGACAGAAUCUUUUUUUAUUUUUGUUUUGUUUUUAUUUUUGAGAUGAAAUCUCACUCUGUCGCCCAGGCUGGAGUGCAGUGGCACCAUCUUGGCUCACUAAAACCUCCGUCUCCUGCGUGGUUCAAGCAAUUCUCCUUCCUCAGCCUCCUGAGUAGCUGGGAUUACAGGCGGCCGCCACAGAGCCCAGCUAAUUUGUGUCUCCAUCUUGGUCAGGCUGGUCUUGAACUCCUGACCUCGUGAUCCACCCGCCUCGGCCUCUCAAAGUGCUGAGAUUACAGACCUGAGCUGCUGCGCCCAGCCGACAGAACCUUUCUAUGCAAAAUGUAAAAAAAUGAAGACUGGAAAAGAUCCUAAAUGGAAUAGUCACUUUGUUUUUGUUUUUUUUGUUGUUGUUGCUGUUUGCUUGUUUGUUUGUUUUUUGAGAUAAGGUCUUGCUCUGUCACCGAUGCCGGAGGUCAGCGGUGCAAUCUCAGCUCACUCCAACCUUCACCGCUUGGGCUCAAGUGAUUCUCCCACCUCAGCCUCCUAAGUCGCUGGAACCACAGGCAGGCAAGGAUGCUUGAGAAAAAUAUGAGAAAACUACAGAAACAACUCAAAACUUUUCUGACUUCCUUAAAAGAACAUCUCCACGGAGGUUUACAGUGAGCUGGUAACAGAGCUGCUGCACUCCAGCCUGGGUGACAGAGUGAGACUGUCUAAAAAAAAAUAAAAAUAAAAAAAAGAACGUCUCCAAUUUUAAUGCAUUUCUUUGUUCAUGGAAAUAU
rnacentral:lncRNA from 1 species